rnacentral:rRNA from 1 species
UACGAGGGGGGCAAGUGUUGUUCGGAAUCACUGGGCGUAAAGGGAGCGUAGGCGGAUGUUUAAGUUGGAUGUUUAAAACCGAGGCCUAACCUCGGAGCGGCAUCCAAACUGGGCAUCUUGAAUAGGUCAGAGGCUGGUGGAAUUGGAGGUGUAGCGGUGGAAUGCGUAGAGAUCUCCAAGAACACCUAUUGCGAAGGCAGCCAGCCUGGGACCAUAUUGACGCUGAGGCUCGAAAGCAUGGGGAGCAACAGG